UGAUUAGCUAGUUGGUAAGGUAACGGCUCACCGAAGGCGACCGAUCAAUAGCCUGGUCUGGAGAGGACGACCAGCCAACACUGGAACUGAGACACGGUCCAGACUCCUACGGGAGGCAGCAGUGGGGAAUUUUGGACAAUGGGGGCAACCCUGAUCCAGCCAUGCCGCGUGCGGGAAGAAGGCCUUCGGGUUGUAAACCGCUUUUGUCAGGGACGAAAAGGGACGGGUUAAGAGCCGGUUCCGCUGACGGUACCUGAAGAAUAAGCACCGGCUAACUACGUGCCAGCAGCCGCGGUAAUACGUAGGGUGCAAGCGUUAAUCGGAAUUACUGGGCGUAAAGCGUGCGCAGGCGGUUGGGUAAGACAGAUGUGAAAUCCCCGGGCUUAACCUGGGAACUGCAUUUGUGACUGUCCGACUGGAGUACGUCAGAGGGGGGUGGAAUUCCGCGUGUAGCAGUGAAAUGCGUAGAUAUGCGGAAGAACACCGAUGGCGAAG
rnacentral:rRNA from 1 species